rnacentral:rRNA from 1 species
AGCUAGUUGGUGGGGUAAAGGCCUACCAAGGCGACGAUCUGUAGCGGGUCUGAGAGGAUGAUCCGCCACACUGGGACUGAGACACGGCCCAGACUCCUACGGGAGGCAGCAGUGGGGAAUAUUGGACAAUGGGCGCAAGCCUGAUCCAGCCAUGCCGCGUGUGUGAAGAAGGCCUUAUGGUUGUAAAGCACUUUAAGCGAGGAGGAGGCUACUGAAGUUAAUACCUUCAGAUAGUGGACGUUACUCGCAGAAUAAGCACCGGCUAACUCUGUGCCAGCAGCCGCGGUAAUACAGAGGGUGCAAGCGUUAAUCGGAUUUACUGGGCGUAAAGCGCGCGUAGGCGGCUAAUUAAGUCAAAUGUGAAAUCCCCGAGCUUAACUUGGGAAUUGCAUUCGAUACUGGUUAGCUAGAGUGUGGGAGAGGAUGGUAGAAUUCCAGGUGUAGCGGUGAAAUGCGUAGAGAUCUGGAGGAAUACCGAUGGCGAAGGCAGCCAUCUGGCCUAACACUGACGCUGAGGUGCGAAAGCAUGGGGAGCAAACAGGAUUAGAUACCCUGGUAGUCCAUGCCGUAAACGAUGUCUACUAGCCGUUGGGGCCUUUGAGGCUUUAGUGGCGCAGCUAACGCGAUAAGUAGACCGCCUGGGGAGUACGGUCGCAAGACUAAAACUCAAAUGAAUUGACGGGGGCCCGCACAAGCGGUGGAGCAUGUGGUUUAAUUCGAUGCAACGCGAAGAACCUU